AAAACAACCGAUUAGUUGAAUUAAAGUACGCCAAACGACAAGACACUAUUCCUUCAUUAAAGUUAACUUAGCAGAAAAAUACUCAGUAUGCAUCAUUUAUCUAUUUUUCUCAGUAAUAUUAUUUAACCCCUGGUAUACACAAUCCACGGAAAGCCUAGUAAAAGAGAUGGGAGGAUUUAAGGCAGGAAUUUUUAAUUGUUCAUUUCAGCUGGGAAGUAUUUCUCAAAAGGCCCUUUUGAUAGAUGCUUUUGGUAACUUACCUGUGAGAGAGUGAACUGUCACAAACUGCGUUUCCCUGGACAAGUCACUGAAAUUUUCAGGCCCAAUGUCUUUAAAUCUUUCAAAAGAGUUAGAAGUAGGUGACCUCGGAAAACUCUUCACAGAUCAUCAUUCUUGGAUCCUGUGACAUCAGGAUAACGUCACUAAUGUCACAUGUGGUGGUGGACAUGUGUGACAGCAGCGCAUCUGUAAAUAGCGGGGGCCAUUUAAGGGGACUGGAGACAGAACUUCCUCCCUCUGCCUGGUUGUCCCUUACCCCCAGACCUUGCCCUCACGGCUCUCCAACAAAGCAGCCUUUCCUGAGCAGCCUGCCCUGGGCCACCCCAGCUCACCUGUACUUCCCAGGGACGGCCCAAAUGCCCCACUGUCACACAGUGUGGUGGCUCCUGAAGGUGGCAUCAUCAUCAAGUCUGGUUCAUUCUGGGCAGGAGGAUCAAGACCUGCUUCUGAUCUUGCAAAUCUAGCAUCUGCUCCUUUCUGGGCUCUUGUCUCUGCUCUGAAGCUCUGGAGAGAGGUCUAAGGUCAGAGGGGCGCUCUCUUCCAGGAUAAUGAUUUUGAGAUUCAUCCUAUAGUUGAAUACCAGCAAUGAAGGAACAGCCUCACACAGGGAGAAACAACUGCUUAUGAAAUCAAGGGAGACUCAUUGUGCCCAAUGAGUUCAGCUAUAUCUGAAUCCAAAUACAUGUAAUCAUUCCAAUUUCCAGGUUCCUAGACUUUCCCAGUAAAUGUCCCAAAUCUCAUCUAAUAACCUCCUCAAAU
rnacentral:lncRNA from 1 species